GGGCCAGACUCCUACGGGAGGCAGCAGUGGGGAAUAUUGGACAAUGGGGGGAACCCUGAUCCAGCGACGCCGCGUGAGUGAAGAAGUAUUUCGGUAUGUAAAGCUCUAUCAGCAGGGAAGAAAGGAAUGACGGUACCUGACUAAGAAGCCCCGGCUAACUACGUGCCAGCAGCCGCGGUAAUACGUAGGGGGCAAGCGUUAUCCGGAUUUAUUGGGUUUAAAGGGUGCGUAGGCGGUCCGGAAAGUCAGCGGAAAAAGCCCGGGGCCCACCCCCGGCGAGCCGUUGAAACUGUCGGACUAGAGACGGCGAGAAGUACGCGGAAUGCGCGGUGUAGCGGUGAAAUGCAUAGAUAUCGCGCAGAACUCCGAUUGCGAAGGCAGCGUACCGGCGCCGGACUGACGCUGAGGCACGAAAGCGUGGGCAUCGAACAGGAUUAGAUACCCGCGUACA
rnacentral:rRNA from 1 species